GACGAACGCUGGCGGCGUGCUUAACACAUGCAAGUCGAGCGGUAAGGCCCUUUCGGGGGUACACGAGCGGCGAACGGGUGAGUAACACGUGGGUGACCUGCCCUCAGCUCUGGGAUAAGCCUGGGAAACCGGGUCUAAUACCGGAUAUGACUCCAUGACGCAUGUUGUGGGGUGGAAAGCCUUGUGCGGCUGAGGAUGGGCCCGCGGCCUAUCAGCUUGUUGGUGGGGUGAUGGCCUACCAAGGCGACGACGGGUAGCCGGCCUGAGAAGGCGACCGGCCACACUGGGACUGAGACACGGCCCAGACUCCUACGGGAGGCAGCAGUGGGGAAUCUUGCGCAAUGGGCGAAAGCCUGACGCAGCGACGCCGCGUGAGGGAUGACGGCCU
rnacentral:rRNA from 1 species